rnacentral:rRNA from 1 species
CCAGACUCCUACGGGAGGCAGCAGUGGGGAAUAUUGGGCAAUGGGCGCAAGCCUGACCCAGCAACGCCGCGUGAAGGAAGAAGGCUUUCGGGUUGUAAACUUCUUUUAAGAGGGAAGAGUAGAAGACGGUACCUCUUGAAUAAGCCACGGCUAACUACGUGCCAGCAGCCGCGGUAAUACGUAGGUGGCAAGCGUUGUCCGGAUUUACUGGGUGUAAAGGGCGUGUAGCCGGGCCGGCAAGUCAGAUGUGAAAUCCCAGGGCUCAACCUUGGAACUGCUUUUGAAACUGUUGGUCUUGAGUGCCGGAGAGGCAGGCGGAAUUCCUGGUGUAGCGGUGAAGUGCGUAGAUAUUAGGAGGAACACCGGUGGCGAAGGCGGCCUGCUGGACUGCAACUGACGUUGAGGCGCGAAAGCGUGGGGAGCAAACAGGAUUAGAUACCCGCGUAU